CCUACGGGAGGCAGCAGUGAGGAAUAUUGGUCAAUGGCCGGAAGGCUGAACCAGCCAUGCCGCGUGAGUGAAGAAGUAUUUCGGUAUGUAAAGCUCUGUCAGCAGGGAAGCAAAUGACGGUACCUGACCAAGAAGCCCCGGCUAACUACGUGCCAGCAGCCGCGGUAAUACGUAGGGGGCAAGCGUUAUCCGGAUUUACUGGGUGUAAAGGGAGCGUAGACGGCAGGGCAAGUCUGGAGUGAAAGGCGGGGGCUCAAACCCCGGACUGCUCUGGAAACUGCCAGGCUGGAGUGCAGGAGAGGUAAGUGGAAUUCCUAGUGUAGCGGUGAAAUGCGUAGAUAUUAGGAGGAACACCAGUGGCGAAGGCGGCUUACUGGACUGUAACUGACGUUGAGGCUCGAAAGCGUGGGGAGCAAACAGGAUUAGAUACCCCUGUAGUC
rnacentral:rRNA from 1 species